UCAUCACCUUCGAAGGCUGAAAGACAGACUACAAAAGGUAUCAGGAGAGGUGGGCUACCGUGGAGAAAUGAAGCCACACUCUAUCUGGAAACGUUGAAAGAAACAGUGGCACAAUAAAGGAACAGGGGGAAACAUGAGCAUCUUGGUUGUCUGUAACCUCUCUGUGAUGCUGGCACUCUGGCUGAAGAGUCGUUCCAGUGACAGCUGAGUUGUUUCCACUACCUUUCAUGUAUCUGAAGACUACAAGAAUUCAAUACCUAAUAGCUGAAUGGAUAAUGCUUUCUGGUUAGGCUUUAACUAAAAUUCAUACUAUAUUAACCCAUGAAUUUGAACUAACAGUUUUGUUCUUAGUCUAUGAGAUUUAGUUGUCAUGUUUGAGAAGUUAUUCCUGAUAUUUUCUGACUACUACUAACCCCCAAACUACUAAAUAUGGGAUCUAUUCUUUAUUUUAACAAUAUUACAUUUAUAAGAUCUCCAUAAUGCAUAUUUGUAGGUAUAGGUGCUAAAUUUUUCUGGAAAAAAAUUAAAAGAAACAACUGAAGAGGGGCCUGAAAUAAAGAUUGUGUGCUUUUCUGUCCUA